AACGGGGAGAUUCAUCGUCGCUCCGCGGCGUACGCGGACGCGCUUCGAUGCACUGGCCGUCCGCGUCGACGUCCGCGGAAGGCGUGCACUUCUCCCCUAGUAUACAUCGCGACCCGUUCGCGGUCUAAGCGCGGCCCGGGAGCCGGCUGGCCGGACGGUAGUUUUCGAAACGCGCACGCGCCGGCGCGUCGGUCCCGACGCAAGCGCGCGUUUCCUGCCUAUGCGCGGUGGCGGACGCGGCGCCGUUGUCGUCGCAGCCGUCGUCUCCGACCGUGCGCGUCUCUGUCUGCGAUGUUUCAGUUUCGGGCACUCGCAGGACCCGUCUUGAAACACGGACCAAGGAGUCUAGCAUGUGUGCGAGUCAUUGAGUGAAAACUGAGAGGCGUAACGAAAGUGAAGGCGCGCUCGCGCGCUCAGGGAGGAUGGGGCGACGGACCCUCGCACUCCCGAGGCGUCUCGUUUCCAAUCAGUGAAUGCAGGCGCGCUCUGAGCACAGAUGCUGGGACCCGAAAGAUGGUGAACUAUGCCUGGUCAGGUCGAAGUCAGGGGAAACCCUGAUGGAGGACCGURGCGAUUCUGACGUGCAAAUCGAUCGUC
rnacentral:rRNA from 1 species